UAAUCAGCAGAUGAAUCAGAGCGAACGGAAUCAUCAGCUGCAGUCAAAAUGAGCUGCGGCUCAACAGGAAACUCCUGCUGGAGUCACAGCCAGCUGAUCUGAGGUCAGACAGGACAGGACAGGACAACAGGGGACACGUUACUGCGUACUGAGGAGCGAAGUCGCCAGCUGAGACUGUGUGUGUCCGGCUCGUCCCUCGGCGUUACGCCCGCACCCGAGACGCCAGGUGCAGCGCCCGGGCCGGGUUACACCUGUGGUGCAGUGACCCGGAUCGUGGCGCUUCGAGACCGAAGAGAAAGUGAAGCUGUCGGCAGCAGGCGGCAACCUCCACUGCGUUACUGACCAAGUAGGAAAAGAGAGGGAAAAUUUAAAGCUACUUGAAUGCCAGCAGUUUCUCCACCAGUUCAAGGAGAGCCGUCCAGUGUGGUACACUGCUCUAUUGGAGAUUGGGGCGCAGAACAUCGAACCCCCUCUUGAUUUAUCUGGGUGACCUCAUCAUAUUCUCCAAAACCUUUGAUGAGCAUCUGGAGAGACUGCAACAGGCGUUUGAUUGGCUUCACGAGCACGGCUUGAAGUUGAAACCCCCCAAGUGCCAGAUGUUGAGACAGGAAGUGCAGUGUCUGGGUCACUUGGUGUCUGCUGGGGGAGUCCGGACCGACCCAGAGAAGAUCAGCAGGGUUAAGGACUGGGCAAGGCAAAUGAACCGCAAGGAAGUGCUGCAAUUCCUGGGGUUCACUGGAUUCUACAGGCAGUAUGUGAAUGGAUACUCUGCCCUAGCUGCUCCCUUAUACCGCCUCACUGCUGGCAACCCCAGAAAGAAAAAAAGGGGCAGGAAGAAAAGCCAGGCACCUGACCUACCCUUUCUGUGGACUGAUGAUUGUGAGGAGGCUUUUCAGACCCUGAAAGAAAGGCUGACGACUGCUCCAGUGCUGAGCUGUCCUGAUUACAGCCUGUCUUUUGUCAUUCAGACAGAUGCCACAGGGGGGAGACAAAACAAAACAGGAGAUCCGUGCGGUGCAGGAGGAAGAUCCUGUAAUCGGCCCCGUCUUGCACUAUAAGAGUCUGAGCCAGAAACCAAGCCGCAGCAAGAGGAUCAGUGGCGGUGAGCAUGUGUGCCUUCUCUUGAAGGAGUGGAGGAGGUUAGUAAUUACAGAUGGUAUUAUGCACUGCUGCGUCCAUGACUGCCAAAAGGGAGAGAGAAAGAGAAGCUGCGUGAAUCAGUCAAGACGGCUCUUCACAAUGACUCAGGGACUUAGGUUUUGAGAGGACUGUGCAGAUGAUAAGAGAGAGAUUUCAUUGGCCACGGAUGUUCCAGGAGAUAAAGGCGUGGUGCGAGCAGUGUGAGAGAUGCUGCCUCAGAAAAACCUGCAGGUGUCGGUGUGGACUUUCUGACUUUGGAGAAGUCGAAGGGCGGCAUCAAAAAUGUCCUCAUCAUCACUGACCACUUCUCACGCUACGCACAGGCAUACCCCACUAUAGACCAAAAGGCCAACAUGGUGGCCAGAGAGCUGUGGGGAAACUUCUGUCGGUUUGGUUUCCCUUUGAAAUUGCAUGCAGACCAAGCGCACAGUUUUGAAAGUGAUGGAGCUGUGCAGGUGUACUGGCAUCACCAAGACUCACACAACCCGCUAUCACACCUAGAGCAAUGGAACUACUUAGAGGUUCAACCACACCCUCAUGAAUAUGCUUGGGACAGCGGAGCCUCACCUGAAGCCCCGGUGGCACGAGUAUGUGGAUGCAGUGACGCACGCCUACAACCACACACACUGUGAUUCUACUGGAUACACACCGUACUAUCUGAUGUUUGGCAGACAUCCCAGGCUCCCUGUUGACCUGAUCUUUGGGCUCCAGGCCACUAAAGAGCCAUGUGAAUAUAGGGAGUAUGUCCAGACUCUGCAUGACAAGUGGGGACAUAUGUUGUGGUGAAGAAGCAGCCCAGCAUAACUGUGUAUGUGGUGCAGUCAGAAAAUGGUGACACAGAGAGGGUGGUCCACCGCAGUCUCCACACACAGUGUUUGUUUCUUCCAGUGGAGCAGGCUGGUGAGGCGGCAAGAGGGGAGGUUGAGCCAGACACAGCAGAGGACAUGGAGAUGGAGGACACAGAGGACAUGGGGAGCAGGUCGGUGAAGUGACAAUACAGGGAGAUGAGUCAGACACAGUGGAGGACUUGGAGGAAAAUGUGGAGAAGUGUUUACCGCAGACAGCAGGCGAACAGUUUGAACGCACAGGAAUGGAGGAAAUGGAUGUGGAGACAAUACAAGUGAGUGUAGGAGGAGAGCAACAUGUAACGGCCAGGAGCACCAACUCGCCUCCCAGGCCCAAUGUUCCAAGGAGGAACUCGCCCAGAAAUCCACGUCCCCCCAAGAAACUGUCCUAUGAGUCACGAGCCGUGUAAUCAGAGGAGGACCAAUGGAAGUUGUGGCAGAGGGCCAAAGCAAGAAGAGCAGCUGGACACAUACAGCAUAAAAAAAAGCAAGUGCACCCAGGUUAAUAUGAGCCGUGAAGUCAGUUCUCUGAAACACCACAUGGGGGCAGUAGAACAGCUAGUUUAAAUGUCACUUUCCAGCAGUAGGUCAGCAUUACUCAGAGUAAACAAAUGCAGAUCAUUUUAGGAUUCAGUGUUAACGUGGAUCUGCCAGAGCAGGAAGAACACAGAGGAAUUACAAGUUUGGACCAAGUGACGUCUGACCUCAUAGCUGAUCCCUGAUCAGUUGGGCUGUUAAACCUCCUUAAUCCAUCAGGAAACCUGCACAGUAUGCCAGGCCAGCACGUCUGAUGGCAAACCAGCAGUACUGACGCUCUGAAGCAGGAAAAGUUCAAAGCAGCUGCUCUCCAGCAGGUCGACCAGCUCAGCCUGGUCCUGCUGCACUGCGUUGUGGUCCCCCUCCUCGCGUGUCCACUGAUUCGUUAGCUGCUCCAGCUAGCAGAUGACUCCUCCCCUUGGAGAUUCCACCAUGUCCGGUUGGCUGGAAAACGGCCUGGGACUCAAAAACCUCACACCUGCCUCACCCGCUCCCGGCCCAUCGUCCUUCUCCGUCCUGGCACGCAUCCUGCCCGAUGCCGACAGCAGCCGGACAUCAGAGUGUGCGUUGGCCACCGUGUGCCGCCGCACGCCGCCAGACUUCUCCAGGUACGCCUCGCCCUCCUGCUCCACCAGUGGGGCCAGAGACGACGAGUCGGACGAGUUGUGAUGCUGAGUGACGGUGAUUUCCGGCUGGGACUGGUCGCCUAGCAACGAGCCUGACGUGCGCAGAUGGCGGGAUUCUGGAUGAGGAGACAGGAAAUCGACACCAUCUCAGACAACUUUUACGGACUACACUGCAGCAGCUUUUUGUGAAGCUACCACUAAAUCUGCAGAUGUACGUGUAGGUGUCUACACCUCCUGAUGGCUGCGCUGCAUGUCCUGCACCAUCUGGAGCAUCGGCACACAAGGUGCAAUACACCCCUGACCAGUGAGGGCAGUGUUGGGUCAUCUGUGUGACGUGACAAUGAGUCAAGGACAAAUAAAACUUCCUUUUUCUGC